ACGACCUAGUUUACAACCUAUAAUCAGCUUUGUCUGGAUUGAAAAAAAGAAUUAUUCCACAAGGAGUAUAUGGUGACAUAGAACCUACAGAUGAUCUGUGCCUGAAACAGGCUUAAACAACUGUGAACAUUAAAAAGGCAGAAGUAAUAUGUGGGGGUCUUUGAAUAUGUCCUCCCCAAACCAGCUGUGACUCAGCCAUCAGCAUUCCCUAACACCUGAACAGCAGGAGAAACCUUUUAUUGGUGCUCCUAAAAACUCC